AGCAACACAUAAACACUCAGGUUGGUGCCGGCCUUUCUACUGACAGGUCUUCAACAUUAGUCUGACCUGCUAGAGAGGCCAAUUCUCACUUCCUGCUGACCUCCAACCUCGCACUUCCUGUUUAAUAAAAAAAAGAAAAGAAAGAUAAACCCGAAAAGAGGGGGAAAAACACGCUCCGCCUCCUCCUGCUCCCUUUCUGCCUUCUCUCUUUUUCCAUCUCUCGCUGAGGCAAAAUCUGCCACGUCGAUUCUUUCGGCUAAAUCUGCGCCUUGACUUUUUUACGCAAAGCUAAGCGAGGACUGGUGGUAUCAUAAUCCGAAAUUCUCUGAAAAUCUCUGAAAAUUUCGAGAUAGAUUUCGCAGAGAUUUCGAGGAAGCUUCAACGCGAGCAGGUCAAGGUGAAAGAAAGGGCCGGGAAGGAAAAAAAAAGGCUAAAGGCUUUUUGCCACCCACGUUCCUGCCUUCCUUCAGAAAGCCCUCAAACACCAAGACCCCUCAGAAGACCCUCCUCUUCUUCUACACCCCCCCAAACCCACCCACCACUGCUCCUUUGGACCUCCACCGGUGAUCAGCCACAGAUAGUGAGAGAAAGACAGAGAGAGAGACAGUAAGAGUAAGAGAGAGAGGAAGGGAUGGAUGGAGGAAAGGAUGGACAAAAGGUUUCCGAGAAGAAUGAAAGAGAGAAAACGCCUGAUCACUCGUGUGCCAAAGCCGUUUGGCACGGACCCGCGAGGUUGCAAGCUUUGAGCGCAGGACUCAGUCUGGACUCAGACCAUCCCUGCAGACUCAGAGGCCUGACCCGCCUGCCCAGUGUUCAGACUACCUGUUCAGGAAGUAGUGAUUGUACAGUAGUCUGCACAUUGGUUAGGCUGAACAGGAGAACCACACUCUCACCUCCAUCAGCCGUGGAUGAAAAAUUGAUGACAAAAAAUUAAAGCAAAGAUCACUUAUAGGAAGCUAUUGAGUUAAGAGGAUAGAAAAUGUUUUUAUAUUCUAUAUAAGUCUCUAAUCUAAGUGAUCCAGUUAUUACAAAAUAGCUAUACACUAUAUAUUGUAUACACUAUAUAUUCAGUGUGUUUAAAUAAUGUUGAAAUAAUGAAAAAAAAACAUUGUUUGGGAUUUUUUUGCUAAAUAAAAUGCAGCCAAUGUGUGCUAAAAUACUACAUAUUAAAUGCUCUGCACAUUU